rnacentral:rRNA from 1 species
GAUGAACGCUGGCGGCGUGCCUAAUACAUGCAAGUCGAGCGAACGGACGAGAAGCUUGCUUCUCUGAUGUUAGCGGCGGACGGGUGAGUAACACGUGGAUAACCUACCUAUAAGACUGGGAUAACUUCAGGAAACCGGAGCUAAUACCGGAUAAUAUUUUGAACCGCAUGGUUCAAAAGUGAAAGACGGUCUUGCUGUCACUUAUAGAUGGAUCCGCGCUGCAUUAGCUAGUUGGUAAGGUAACGGCUUACCAAGGCAACGAUGCAUAGCCGACCUGAGAGGGUGAUCGGACACACUGGAACUGAGACACGGUCCAGACUCCUACGGGAGGCAGCAGUAGGGAAUCUUCCGCGAUGGGCGAAAGCCUGACGGAGCAACGCCGCGUGAGUGAUGAAGGUCUUCGGAUCGUAAAACUCUGUUAUUAGGGAAGAACAUAUGUGUAAGUAACUGUGCACAUCUUGACGGUACCUAAUCAGAAAGCCACGGCUAACUACGUG